GCCCCCAUAGUCUAGCGGCCUAGGACGCCGGCCUUUCAAGCCGGAGAUCACGGGUUCGAAUCCCGUUGGGGGUA
rnacentral:tRNA from 1 species